rnacentral:misc_RNA from 1 species
GUUAUUUGUCGUCUCGUUCUGGCAUCGCGUCCUCCGGGCUUCCCUCCCCCGUCCCGCUCCUUUGCCAGUUUCGCUCGAUUUCCGUGGUGUGCGGACGGAUCGUUGUUCGUGCCGCGAUAAUAAAUUUCACGGUCUCAUCCUUUGUCCAGGAAGAAGCAGAGGCCGAAGAAACAACCAAGUAUAACUUUAACAAUAAAUAACUUUUAGCAAUUUGGUGGCAUAGCUGGUGAAUUUGACGCGUGUAUCCCGACGUUCUGUGUGUUUUGAAGUGAUUCCCGCAGUCGUCCGAGCAUGAAUAAUAUAGAAGUAACCGGUGAUAUUGUCGUGUGUCCACCGGGAGGAGAGGUGUGGUGACCGGGCGAGCUGUCGAGGCCGUGGUGUUCACCGUGUGAUGAGUCUGCGGUGACAGCUCGCCGCUGAGCGGUUGGAUGGCGGCAGUAAGCGGCCCCGCGCGGCACUCUCGCGUUUCCAUGAGUGUGUCCAUGUCGCUGAUGCAGGGCGGUACGCAGAGCGCGCCGCAGGGCGCCAUCCUGGCGGCAGCGGCGCCCUACUACCAGACGCCGGCCAUCCCCACUGACGUGCAGCCAGACCGGCCCAUCGGAUACGGUGCCUUCGGUGUUGUGUGGGCUGUGACGGACCCGCGCGAUGGCCGGCGUGUGGCUCUCAAGAAACUGCCCAACGUGUUUCAGUCACUCGUCUCCUCUAAGCGCGUCUUCCGCGAGCUCAAGAUGCUCUGCUUCUUCAAACACGAGAACGUACUAUCGGCGUUAGACAUCCUGCAGCCGCCUAGCCUCGACUUCUUCCAGGAAAUUUACGUGAUAACUGAGCUGCUACAGAGCGACCUGCACAAGAUCAUCGUGUCGCCGCAACAUCUCUCCGCAGACCACAUCAAAGUCUUCCUCUACCAAAUAUUAAGAGGUCUGAAAUACCUACACUCGGCACGCAUCCUUCACCGCGACAUCAAGCCUGGCAACCUGUUGGUGAACAGCAACUGCGUGCUGAAGAUAUGCGACUUCGGACUGGCGCGAGUCGAGGAGCCCGACUCAAGCAAGAACAUGACGCAGGAGGUCGUUACGCAGUACUAUAGAGCGCCGGAGAUCCUGAUGGGGGCGAACCACUACACGGCCGCGGUGGACGUGUGGUCCGUGGGCUGCAUAUUCGGCGAGCUGCUCGGCAGGCGGAUCCUGUUCCAGGCUCAGAGUCCAGUACAACAGCUGGAGCUGAUCACGGAGCUGCUGGGCACGCCGUCGCUGGAGGACAUGCGGCACGCGUGCGCCGGCGCGCGCGCACACAUGCUGCGCCGCGCGCCGCGCCCGCCCGCGCUCGCCGCGCUCUACACGCUCUCCGUGCAGGCCACGCACGAGGCCGUGCAUCUGCUCGCACAGAUGCUAGUGUUCGACCCGGCGAAGCGCAUCUCCGUGGUGGAUGCGCUUGCGCACCCGUACCUGGAGGAGGGGCGGCUGCGCUACCACUCGUGCAUGUGCAAGUGUUGCUACAGCGCGCCGCCGGCCGCGCGGCACUACUCGCCCGACCUAGAGCCCGUCGCGCCGCAUCCCUUCCACGACGGGUGGGAGCGCAAGCUCACCUCCGUGCACCAAGUUAAAGAGGAGAUCCACAAGUUCAUAGCGGAGCAGCUGCAGACGUCGCGCGUGCCGCUGUGCAUCAACCCGCAGUCGGCGGCGUUCAAGAGCUUCGCAAGGUAAGGCGCCGCCACCAACCACCAACCGCAACCAACCGCCACCAACCGACACUAGCUCUAGAACGGGUACGAAAGCAAAAGUAUGUUCCCCUUUCAAGACGGCGGCAAAAAUACUACUACUGUCGCCAGUGAUAUUUCUGUGCGCCGCGUAGUGAGCCCCGAGCCCGUCCCA